rnacentral:rRNA from 1 species
CACGGAGUUAGCCGAUCCUUAUUCAUAAGGUACAUGCAAAGCAGUAUACAUACUGCACUUUAUUCCCAUAUAAAAGAAGUUUACAACCCAUAGGGCAGUCAUCCUUCACGCUACUUGGCUGGUUCAGGCUAGCGUCCAUUGACCAAUAUUCCUCACUGCUGCCUCCCGUAGGAGUUUGGUCCGUGUCUCAGUACCAAUGUGGGGGGUUGACCUCUCAGUCCCCCUAUGUAUCGUCGCCUUGGUGAGCCGUUACCUCACCAACUAGCUAAUACAACGCAUGUCCAUCUCUGACCACCUGAGUUUUCAACCUACCGAAGAUGCCUCCGGUGAUGUAUGGGGUAUUAGUACCAAUUUCUGAUUGUUACUCCCCUGUACAAAGGUAGGUUACAUACGCGUUACGCACCCGUCCGCCGGUCGCCGGCAUAGUAGCAAGCUACUACCCGCUCGCCCCUCGACUUGCUAUGUGUA